GGUGUUCACAGCGCCCGUCUGCGCAACCCACCUGGCAACGUGGACCUUGGCAGAUAUCGCCUUUUUGUCAUUCUUGCCGCGCAGCACAGAUAUGUCGAUUUACGGUAAAUGCGAAAUGACAGCUGUGUUAGGAGCAGCACGUCUUGUAAGUUCUUCAUUAGCACUUCCGUUUAAAAGUAGGCUAUAUUUGGCGCGUUAAAGCAGCAGUAUCAAGUAUGUCCGGUGGAUCUGAUGAAUAGGAGUUGAUCGUAAACAAAUGACCACCACAAAAGCAUUCUGGGAUUGUUGGAGAGAUCACAGUUGCAGUUAGCUUGAGGGACUGCCCAGUGCAGAGGAACUGGGCUGGGACCUGACUGUUUACAACAGAAGCUCAUCUCUUCAAAACGACAGAAGGUUGAUGAUAUAAAAGCACCCAUACCAUAGUAACUAAAUCCUUAGUCAAAUGAUAUAUUGGAAAUGAGUUUCCUUAUAUAAAGAUCAUUCUCCUUGAAUAGGGAUCUUGAAGCGUAGUGCAAGGAAGUGAAUUUGGAACAUCUGCAUCCUCUGUAGAUAAGAACCUUGUGCAUGCUCACAAGUGUCUAGUGUACCUUCCAUGUGCCUGUUUAGAAAAGGAUAACAAAAUUGAAAAAAGUGCACUGUAAGCUGUAAACUGUUUAGUUUAAACAAUGUUUGUGUUAAGAAUGUCACCUCUCAGUGCUUCAUUGCUAGUUACCACAUGUGUGGCAAUCCUGGCUGGCUGACAGUAUAAAGUAGCCCUAUGUGCUUAAUAACCUCUUUUUUUUCUUGAAAAAGACAGCAAAUACUAAUAAAUGUUUUAAGUGACCUUUAAUUUUCAAUUCAAAAUAGCCAGCAAGUAGUAGUGGAUAUGAUCAUUUUUAGUUCUUGGCCUCAGUUAUUGUUACUAAAUACAACAGUCUAAAUUUUAAAGGAUUAUUAUGUAAUAUGUGUCAAUGG